UACAGAGGGGGCGAGCGUUGUUCGGAAUUACUGGGCGUAAAGGGCGCGUAGGCGGCCCGCUAAGUCGAACGUGAAAUCCCCAGGCUCAACCUGGGAACUGCGUCCGAUACUGGCAGGCUUGAAUCCGGGAGAGGGAUGUGGAAUUCCAGGUGUAGCGGUGAAAUGCGCAGAUAUCGGGAAGAACACCCGUGGCGAAGGCGGUUCUCUGGGACGGUACUGACGCUGAGACGCGAAAGCGUGGGGAGCGAACAGG
rnacentral:rRNA from 1 species